GACGAACGCUGGCGGCGUGCUUAACACAUGCAAGUCGAACGAACAGGUGCUGCUUUUGCUGCUCUCUCGAUUGGCGCACAGGUGUGUAUCACGUGUGUAACCUGUCCUUGUCUUUCUGAUAUCUUUUGGAAACUCCGGCUCUUAUCCCAUAUGAUCUCCUGCUCUAUGUUGUUCGUUGGUGAGUUUCGGUUGUUGUGGAUGUUCUCGCUGCUUAUCCGCUUGUUUGUGUGGUUGUGGCUUACCAAGGUUUUGACGGGUAGGCGGCCUGAGAGGGUUACCGGGCACAUGGGGACUGAGAGACGGCCCAGAAGCGUACGGGAGGCAGCAGGGGGGAAUAUUGCAGAAUGGGCGGAAGCCAGAGGCAGCAACGCUGCGAGCGGGAUGACGGGUUACGGGUGAUAAACCGAUGUGGAAGGUGAUAAAGAGUGAGUGACGGUAAUGGGUAAAGAAGCAACGGCUAACUACGUG
rnacentral:rRNA from 1 species